rnacentral:tRNA from 2 species
GGUCGCAGAGUCUAGCGGCAGGAUGCCUGACUGUCUAUCAGGAGGGACGGGUUCAACUCCCGUUGCGACCGCCA